GCCCAAAGAGUAAAGGAAGAAGAGAGAGCAAUUCAAUACUAACUCUGAACCAAAAUUUUUUUUUGGUGUCGAGAUAGUAUUGAAUUGCUCUCUCUUCUUCCUUUACUCUUUGGGCAACUU
rnacentral:snoRNA from 1 species